AACGAACGCUGGCGGUAUGCUUAACACAUGCAAGUUGAACGGAAUUAUUUAAGCUUGCUUAAAUAAUUUAGUGGCAAACGGGUGAGUAACACGUGGGAAUCUACCCAGUAGUACGGAACAACAGUUAGAAAUGACUGCUAAUACCGUAUAGUAUCGAGAGAUUAAAGAUUUAUCGCUACUGGAUGAGCCCGCGGCAGAUUAGGUAGUUGGUAGGGUAAUGGCCUACCAAGCCAAAGAUCNGUAGCUGGUCUGAGAGGAUGAUCAGCCACACUGGAACUGAGACACGGUCCAGACUCCUACGGGAGGCAGCAGUGAGGAAUAUUGGACAAUGGGCGAAAGCCUGAUCCAGCAAUACCGCGUGAGUGAAGAAGGCCUUAGGGUUGUAAAGCUCUUUCAGCAGGGAAAAUUAUGAUGGUACCUGCAGAAGAAGUUCCGGCUAA
rnacentral:rRNA from 1 species